GAAUUAAACAGUGCCAGCAAGUUAGUCUUUCUACAUGCUGCUAAUCAGUUUUGAUGCCUGUCUCUGAACCUCCGCUAUUCUGCUAUACCUUCUUUGGAAUGAGAUGACCAGAACUGAAUGCAGUCUAUUCCAGUGUUGCAGGACCCAAGAAGAGAGAUGCACAAUACCUUUUCCUCAAUACCAUUCAUUCAUACGCCUUCAUUCUGGUGACUUUACAGCAACCUUAGCUGAGAUGGAGCUGAGACAGAGUACGCUCAACAUUGUAUGGCAUAACAGCUGAAAUCAAAGUGGUGACAGUGAGAGAGGGGAAAUUUUGGUCACGGUGACUGAGAAGGAAUAUGUAAAUCUUCAUCUCCCAAAAUGGAGAAAAGGAAUUGAAAGAAGGAAAGAAAACCAGUCAAAGGGGAAGGAAAAGAUACAAAAAUACCCAAUGCUAUCACCACGACCUGGAAAUGUGGAAGCCGCAAGAGAAGAAAUAGCAGCAGUAGUGGAUCUUCAUCCUGGCAAGUAUUUGCACUAUGUGAAGAACAAAGACCAAGACUAUUGACUCAUAAUGUCCAUCGUCUCUUACCCCCAGAACUAAGUAUUUCCACACAGUGAGCUGGCAAAGGGGUAAAACUAAAUAGCAACAGCAGAAGGACUACAUGGCUGGUAUAAUUGUGUCAUUAGAUAUCUGGGUCUUCGACUUCCCCUAGCUAUGGUACAGAGGAUAUGGCUCAAUUAAGAUGUUGCUAUUCCAACUUCAAUGACCACACACCAGUCUGUGG